rnacentral:rRNA from 1 species
GAUGAACGCUGGCGGUAUGCUUAACACAUGCAAGUCGAACGGACUCUUCGGAGUUAGUGGCGGACGGGUGAGUAACGCGUGAGAAUCUGGCUUUGGGUUCGGGACAACCACUGGAAACGGUGGCUAAUACCGGAUGUGCCGAGAGGUAAAAGAGAAAUUGCCUGAAGAUGAGCUCGCGUCUGAUUAGCUAGUUGGUGAGGUAAAGGCUCACCAAGGCAGCGAUCAGUAGCUGGUCUGAGAGGAUGACCAGCCACACUGGGACUGAGACACGGCCCAGACUCCUACGGGAGGCAGCAGUGGGGAAUUUUCCGCAAUGGGCGAAAGCCUGACGGAGCAAUACCGCGUGAGGGAAGAAGGCUCUUGGGUUGUAAACCUCUUUUCUUAGGGAAGAACAAAAUGACGGUACCUAAAGAAUCAGCAUCGGCUAACUCCGU